GGCUGUGGCGAGGUUGGCACCGAGCGAAAUGCCAAGUCCCAAAAGCACUUUCGCGGUCUAGUAAAUAUGGCCGCGUUUCACAUUCUGCUUGCAAAACAAUGUAAUCCACAAAUAUCCAGCGGUUUCCACUCCGUAUAAAGCGAGGACUGCCAUGUGAAAUAAGACGCCUUUCCAAGAAGGGGGGAAAAAGAUCCCGGUGACAGCUGCGAGCGAAGCACAAAGCUACCGUGGCUCUCGGACAAAGGCAGCCAUGUGUCCUGCAUGGGAGAGGAGCAAAAGGAGCGCAAAAGGAGCGCAAAAGGAGCGCAAAAGGAGCGCAGGAAGCAGCCAGCCGAUCCCCCGAUCGCCUCCGCACUUCUGCGCGCAGACAGCGACGUAUCUGGUGAAUGCGCCCAACGCAAUUCCUUGCAAAUGGCGUACAAAACGAGCACUCCUUCUCGCGUGCUUUUGUAUCAGGGCAACGCCACCUCACGAGCAAGGCGAAGAGGCUGCGCGCAGCAAGAAAGCAUCCACGCGCCGUCAAAAGACUCGCCUAUCUCCCGCGUGCUCGUCGCCAGGCGCUCUCGAAGAGCAGAGAAUCCAUCCAAAAAACCCCACAAAGAGCUCCCCUUCGGCUAGUGAGGACGGCACGGAGCCGCAACAAAACCGACAGGAGCUGUAGCGGGACGUUUUCAGGGCUUCGCAGGUAAAACUCGCGCGCCGUGGCUCGUGUCCGCUUCCAGUCUGUCCGGCGCUGCCGCGCUCGUGCUGCUGCUGCUGCUGCUGCUGCUACCCGCUCGCUCCGCGGCGCAGACGAGCUCUUCAGUUCAUCCGUCGGUUUGUCUCCGAGGUCUCCCUCGCGACCGGGUCCUCCCACUUCCUGAUUCCAACCUGCCUUCACUCGACUCCUACCCUCGUGCCCCGCUGCCGACACGCACGCGCACACGCGCGCAAAAGUUUGAGCGGCGCUUCCCCGCAGCAGAAGCUCGCACGGACAGCUAUCACGCACGGCGGUGUCGCGCGACCUUAUUCCUGAGCGUGUGCAUGGUGCACACCGAGAGACAGUGCCAGUGGUCAGAGUGAAAGGAUGUGUUCUGGGGUGGGAGUAAGCAGAAGGGGGACGUGGGGCGAUGUUCUCUCAUUACCGUGAUGAUGUCAGCCACUGAUGAAUGUUCCAGCAGGGUGUCGCCACCGCGAGGGGUGGGAGACAACAUGACCCUCACACCCGCUGCCUUCCUGUUAGCACCACACACCCCAACCCAGCAUGACCUCACCAGCAAUCCUGGGACUACCAUCGGCCAGACCGGCUCGGGGUCACGGACCGUGGCUGCGCUUCCGAGAGAAGAGAGCCCCAGUAAACGCCUGCCAAAGUCUCAGCUAAAUCGAAUAAACACGUCUAAAGGACCACAGACACACUCACUCCAGCAGUAGGGCGCCGUUUAUAAAGCCGUGGCAUUUCAAUAAACAGUGUUGAGAGAAACCGCAAAUGUUUAAAUAGAAUUGAUUAGGUGUAGGGAGCAGGGUUGACUCAGUAUGUGUAUGAAACAGCAGACAGCAAAAAACAAAUGAAUCACUUAGCCCAGAUGUGUAUACCGUGGCACCGGUACUAAUCACAGCACUGAGGCCAACGACUUUUACAGGCUUUGUCUUUGAAUGAAAAUAACUUUUUGGCUUCCUUCCUCGAUCUCCUCAUGAACCUUAUGAGUAUGGAUGCGAAAACAAUCGUACAGUCAGCUAUUUCCAGACGUUUCUGGAAAAACCUUCUGAACUGGUUAACUCAGAGGCCUGACCCACAGUUCUGUCUUGGCAAACAAGUAUUAACCCUCAGUGCAGAAGAAGCCGUGCACAUCUGAUCUUUGCUGCCACCAGGAACCAUCUGAUUAUAACUUCUGAUCUUAAUCUGAUUUUUUUGUGUGUGGCUGGAAAGCACAGUGCAUUUAUCUGUCAAAAACACCAGCGUCAUCUCCAACAUAUACUUUAGCCAAAGCAGUGGGAUUCAUAAAUAAAAUAUUUUUACCCCAAGUUCAACCCUCACAAUCUCUCACAACCAGACGGUUUGUCCUAGAGAAAUAUACAUUAUUUAUCCAGCUAGUUAUCUUCAUCAAUAUGUGUUUGGCCAAUCCUAAAACAGGAGGGAGGUACAGAUGGAAGAAAGAGUUAAUUUAAUCAUCUUAUAACUUCAGACUGAGGAGAGAAGAGAUACAGAUCCAAUUGGAAGGAUGUGGGAUUGGAAAACUUUGGGAUAGGAAGACUGGGAUUGGAAGACUGGGAUUGGAAAUCUGAUUGAUCUUCAGGACAAGGAAACAGAAUUAAUCUGCUACAGGUGAUGGAGAACGGAAACAAAUGAGCUACGGAGACGUUUAGUUACGAUAAACAAACAAAUUAUUUCACUCAGAGCUAUAAUUUUAAACCAAUAUUCUUUGCUCAAUUCAGACUAUUAUCAUAUAAAUGUCCUUGUAUGUACAUUACUGUGAUUAAUGAGUUAUCUGAGGUGAGACUGUGUUCUAGGAAACACUGUGCUUUAAAACAGUGGAACGCAUCAGCCUCAUUUGGGAAGAAACAUGCAGCCAAAAUGUUGCAAUAAGAAACAGAAACUGCUGUAUAAUCUCACCAGUUACUUUAUUAGAAACACCUACCUUGUAGGUCCACCAUGUCCGUGUACAGAUAUAGUCUGUAUCCUAACACCCGACACUAUUUGCCUUAGCUAUCAAAAAGCACUUUAUGUGACUUUAGCUUGAAUGUUGUGACAUGAGCUCAAGCCACGCUGCCCACACUUUGCUCUUACUUCUAGGUGAACCACUCCAGGCAGUUCUAUUCCUUAUACAUGCGCUGAACUUCAUUUCACACUUGUUUACCUGGCAAAUUCAUGGAAGAAGUGUGAGUACAUGAGGCUAGGGUACAUCGCUUAAAAACCAUGAGCUUGAUAUCCGAUGACAAUUCUGAAGAGAACAUGGAUGCUAUUGAAAUGAGUUCUCCAGCCAAGGUCAUCAAGACGGGAGCAGCACAGAGUGAAGUUCUGCACCAGCUCUGCAGCGGGCACCUUACUCUCAAACCUGCUAAAUUCAGCACCACGCUCAACCUUCACAUCAAGAGCCGACCUUGUGCCUGACAACACUUUAGGAACAGGUGUUGUUGAGUCCAAUUCAGUGCAAACUAUGUUCCACGGCUUAAUCCAUAACUGCAGAGUCUAGCUGGGAUUGCUGGGAUUGCUCUGUGCUCUCAGGUCACUAAUAAUUUUUUGGAAGUCAAAUGAGGACAUCAUCUGGGUCCUGGUCAGUGUGGCCAAGGAAGUUUUUUUUUUUUUUGUGUGUGUGUGUGUGUGCUCAUGUUUUGUUUCCAUGUUUUGUUUCCAUUAUACUCAACUAGAAGUUUCUUGAUCUUCUUUAUAUUGUAUGUAUGCUACAAUAUAAUCUAAAGUAAAAUCGAUUGAUAAUCA